AUCUGAAACUGAGCCAUCAACCUGGCUCUGAUAUCAGUUGAAAGGAAAACUGCUUUUUUCCUUUGUAGGAUCUUCCAGAUUUCAUCAAAUCUGGGAUGGAAUAAUUUAAAAAUUUUAUCCUAUGCUAUUUUAGAUCUAAUAUUUAUUAGAUCUAAUUUUAUUAUCUGAUAUUUAAAAUCUAAAAUUAAAUCUAAAAGCAUGAGAAGUAUAGACAUACCUCAAGGGUAAUCUGAAUAUCCUGUAG
rnacentral:lncRNA from 1 species